rnacentral:ncRNA from 1 species
NNNNNNNNNNNNNNNNNNNNNCCGAAGGGAAACCGAGUCUUACAGGGCGUCAAGUCGCUAGUCAUAGACGCGAAACCUAGUGAUCUAGGCCUGUCCAGGCUGAAGCUGAGGUAAGACUCAGUGGAGGGCCGAACUCACCGCCGUUGAAAGUUGGGAGAUGAGGCAGGUCUAGGGGUGAAAAGCCAAUCGAACUAGGAGAUAGCUCGUUCUCUCCGAAAUGCAUUUAGGUGCAGCCUUGACGUCAAGAUAUGUGGGGGUAGAGCUCUGUAUGGUCUAGGGGGCGUACUGCUUACCUGAAAUCAAGCAAACUUCGAAUACCAUAUAUUAAUAGUCAGGAGUGAGUCCGCGGAUGACAAGGUCCGCGGACGAGAGGGGAACAGCCCAGACCGCCAGCUAAGGUCCCUAAUUAUGUCUAAGUGGGAAAGGAGGUGGAUAUUCACAGACAACCAGGAGGUUGGCUUAGAAGCAGCCAUGCCUUGAAAGAGUGCGUAACAGCUCACUGGUCGAGAGUAUCUGCGCCGAAGAUGUAACGGGGCUAAGACAUAAACCGAAGCUGCGGAGGCGUGCCUGCACGCCUGGUAGGAGAGCGUUCUGUAGGCCGUUGAAGGAAUGCCGCAAGGCCGUUCUGGAGGUAUCAGAAGUGAGAAU